rnacentral:rRNA from 1 species
CGCCCUACGGGAGGCAGCAGUGGGGAAUAUUGCACAAUGGGGGAAACCCUGAUGCAGCAACGCCGCGUGAAGGAAGAAGGUUUUCGGAUUGUAAACUUCUGUUCUUAGUGAAGAAGAAUGACGGUAGCUAAGGAGCAAGCCACGGCUAACUACGUGCCAGCAGCCGCGGUAAUACGUAGGUGGCAAGCGUUGUCCGGAAUUACUGGGUGUAAAGGGAGCGCAGGCGGGAAGCCAAGUCAGCUGUGAAAACUACGGGCUUAACUUGUUGACUGCAGUUGAAACUGGUUUUCUUGAGUGAAGUAGAG